AAAUUGAAGAGUUUGAUCAUGGCUCAGAUUGAACGCUGGCGGCAGGCCUAACACAUGCAAGUCGAACGGUAGCACAGAGAGCUUGCUCUCGGGUGACGAGUGGCGGACGGGUGAGUAAUGUCUGGGAAACUGCCUGAUGGAGGGGGAUAACUACUGGAAACGGUGGCUAAUACCGCAUAACGUCGCAAGACCAAAGAGGGGGACCUUCGGGCCUCUUACCAUCAGAUGUGCCCAGAUGGGAUUAGCUAGUUGGUGAGGUAACGGCUCACCAAGGCGACGAUCCCUAGCUGGUCUGAGAGGAUGACCAGCCACACUGGAACUGAGACACGGUCCAGACUCCUACGGGAGGCAGCAGUGGGGAAUAUUGCACAAUGGGCGCAAGCCUGAUGCAGCCAUGCCGCGUGUAUGAAGAAGGCCUUCGGGUUGUAAAGUACUUUCAGCGGGGAGGAAGGUGUUGUGGUUAAUAACCGCAGCAAUUGACGUUACCCGCAGAAGAAGCACCGGCU
rnacentral:rRNA from 1 species